AGGUUUGCCUUUGGCCUUUAGCAUUCUUACUGAGGAAGUGCUCUGGCUCCCAUGGUCUCCUGGUCUACUCCUAUGUGUGUGAGUAGAGGUACGAUGGAGAUGCUCCAAGCAGCUGUCCUCCACCCCUGCUGGCUAGCUGGAUGUUUACACACCUUGAAAUGAAUGAGCAUCAGAUUCUGCUACAGCUGGUCCAGAACCGUGCAGCCAACAUAUUUACAUCACGAGGGCAGGAGGGAAAGAAGCAGACCGUUCUGAGCUGAACCUUCCCUAGCUGGACUUGGCCAACAGCAGAUUUGUUGAGUGGCUUUCACUGAUCAGCUUCAGAGCUCCUAUGUGCAGAGCCACAGUGCCCAAUAACAGCUCUGGCUGUGGGGAGGGCAGAGAGAAACACUUAUUCAAUAAA